rnacentral:lncRNA from 1 species
GAUCCAGAAGACCUAAGUGGGACGGCACACAGAAGCACCUCUGCUGUUCCUUGUCUAGAAUGUGUUUCCGUGUGGGACGCACACGCCCCCCCCCCCCCAAAGCUACAGGGAGCCUGUUCACAAAUGUCCAGGGAUUUUACCAUAUGGUCGGGGCAGGUGCAUGGGGCCUCGCCUCUGCCACUGAUAAUACCCGUAGCAGCAGAAGGGCGCUUUCUCUAGGAGCCACAACCUGACCCGUGAUUGCAGACAGAUGAUUUGUGAAUUUUAGGAGAAGUAUCAAAGCUCGGCGAAAUCUGCAAACACCUCUGCUAACUCAGGACUUCCACAGGAUUUAUGGAUUGCCUUCAUAGGGAGAUUUCUCAGCUUCAGCACCGGGGAAAUGGAAACCCGCUUCAGGUGACAGAUCCCGGAGGCAGCCUGGAAAUCCAGCCCUCCACCCUCCACCAGCGCCUGUGGGGAUGCCGCUUCAGAAGAAAACAGAAAAUAAGCCAAGAAGUAUUCUCGAAACUGUAGAUAUCAUCCUAUUUCCCAUAUUAUUUCCCUAAAAGGAAGAGAGGAGGACAGAAAGGAACAGAAGAGGGGGCACCUACCCCUCACGGGGGUGAGGAUAUACUCCAGUUUGGGGCCGAGUGCCGUCUCACCCCUGUCUUGCCCCGGUUUCCAGUCCGAUUUGGCCCUUGGACCAGCCGCUGGGCUUUCCUGCCUCUGUGUCUCCCUCCAUAACGUGAAGGUGCUGUUGAUGCCUCCCUCACUAGGCGCUCAGGGUCCUAAGUGAUCACCCUCACCAGCCUGUGCGUGUACAACCACCCGAGCCGGCAUCCGCUCCCAUGCGCCGGCACUCGCCGACCAGUUAGGGCGGGCGAACAGCACAUGAGUCCUGCUGGUAUGAUGCUCACUGUCCCCCCCCCCCCCAAAUUAAACCCAGCAUGCUAAUGAGUAAUGGUCUUUAAAAAGAAAGAGGCUUUCUUCUGGUUUUUGUUUUGGGGAUUUUUCUUUUUUUAAGAGAAACACUUUCCCAAAGCUGUGUUCAGGUUACACAGAAUACCCACUGAUCUUUCAAGUUGAAAAGGCAGGCACAGCGUCUCGGUGGUGGUGGAGAAUAUGCUCCGUCUUCCUCUUUGAACACAAUAACAUCACACUCAGCUCGCAGGGAAUCAGACCUCAUGCGCGGACACCUCUGCACGCAAAUACGCGGAGAUGGCUAUAAUGUGCCGAGGGAGGAAACGCGGCCAGACUUCAGGGAAACUCGCUGAACACGCUCCGGCAACAUAGUGUGGAGUGUUUUUUAAUGUUUUAUUAAGAGUGUGAAGGCCAAACCAGAGGGAGGAGGGAAGGAGGCGUUUGAAAUCCGUCCAGAUUAAGUUUCCACUGCUGGGGUGAGCCUUCGUAAUUGGGGACUCAAACAGUCCCGCCCCUGGGAAGGUGAUGCUCCCAGACCCCACACAAUAUCCACAGCCGAGGCAGACUUCUCCAAAGUCCCAGAGUUUCGCUUUGUUAUUAGAAGACCUUUUUUUUUUUUUUUUUUUUUUUUUUUUUUUUUGCAGGGCGGAGGGUGGAUACCAAGCUCGCAUCCAGAGGGCUUCAGGUUAAAUACCCUCUUCCACUGCACACGAAGGGACUGCUGCCAUCGGUGCCUUCAAGGAGCACUGUGAUGAUGGAUGAGAUGCACUCAGGUGCUCUCUGACGACUGGUGGUCUCUCCCAACAGAUGUCCUCAAAGGGAGCACUUUAUGGCGUGUGGGGGAAUAUUUGCACUAAAAGAGAGAGAGAGAGAGAGAGAGAGAGAAGAAAAAAGAGAGAGAAACAGAAACAAACCCACUUAAAAACCCAUCCUAACAAUGUUUCAGUAUUUUAGGCAGAACUACAAAGUUAUCAACCCUGACAGAUGAUCAAUCAGCUCCUGCUUUGAAAGGUGGGUGCCGGUGAUUAUGAGGCGCAGGUGCCGACUUUGAUCAGAAGAGACAAGCGCUGGGGCUGCUGCCGGUUCUCCUCCCCUGCUCACCCCCAGGGCAGAGCAGCACCUGUUUACCUCCCAGGCCCGCCCUCUCAUAAAACACUUGGAUUUUGCUGGCUUUGAGCAAGAUUUUUCAUUUGCAAAUGGCUUUUCUUCCUACCGCUCAUCUGGAGCAAUAUUACCAGCCUUGUGUCAAUACCAUCUAGGUGUCCUUGGAUUUCAGGCCAUAGCAGAAGGCUUAAAUUCAGAAAAAGUUCAGGCCAGCUGAAACGUGCUGUUUUUUGUGUCUUUUUUUUUUCUUCUUAAAGGGACUUUGUUAAGUAUUGGGAAAAUAAAUGCCAUUCUGCUCUUCCA